CUAGACUGCCUCUCUAGAUUCCUCUUCUCUGGGAAGGGCAUCUCUGAAAGAAAGGCAGCAGCCCUAGUCAGGGGCUUAUAGAUAAAACUCCCAUCUCCCUGGGACAGAGCACCUGGGGGAAGGGGCAGCUGCAGGCACAGUUUCAGCAGACUUAAACGUUCCUCUCUGCCAGCUCUGAAGAGAGCAAUGGAUCUCCCAGCACAGCGCUCAAGCCCUGCUAAGGGACACACUGCCUUCUCAACAUCUAGAAACUUCUUACUUCCACAUGAGGAAUACAAUGUCAUUUGUUGGAUUUUCACAUGACAACAAAAGAAAAUAAUAAACAAGACCUUGCUUGCAUGGAAAAUUCAUUGCCUAUUGUAGGAAAAGGCAGGGAUGUCAUUACACAGAGCAAAGAAAAUAACAGAGGUUAAUCAAUGUUACUGCUAGCUUGCUCUUAUAUAUACUUAUUUUCAUUUCUGAUGCUUUUUUCCUCUCAAGGGUAAAAAAACAAACAUCAAAUCUCUAUAAAUCUCUCAUGCAGGGCACCCAGCUUUCUGCAGCUCUGUCCUUCUUUGGUUUGUAAUCCACACUUUUGAAGCCCGUCUAAGUGCAUUCAUAGACAAGGCCAUCUCUCCCCUUGGCCUUUGACUGUGGGGCAGGGUGUAAAAAGUGGGAGGUGGGUUAUAUGCUUCUAGUUGGGUAAAUGCUAAGCGUUUUUAUGUGGGUUGCAUUUUAUUUUCGCUUUCUAACAACAUAAUUGAACAUUCAGAAAGGGUGAGUAACUUUCCAAAAGUUUCACAGAUACUGAAAGAUAAGUCAGGGUUCAUACUUUGGUCUGUCUGAUCACAAGCCAGACUAAGAUUUGAACUUCUCUGAGACUGUUUCCUCAAAUUUAAAAUCAGAAUCAUGUUAUCUAAUUCACUGGCUGAACCAAGCUCAUUCCUCACCCAUUUUUUAUUGGUACUUCUUAAAGAAUGUGGUCCUCACUCUCUAGGUUCCAUGUUUUGAGCAUAAAAUUCCUAUCCCUGUACCCCAGGCAGAGAGGACUGGACCAGGCGUGGACCUCUGACCUACAAUAUCCAAGGCAUUAGGUUUUCCUGGUUCAUCACCUCCUUCAAUUGUAGAUGCUGCAGAUGCUGCCCUCUCUGUAGAGGUUUAAGUAAACAGGAAAGAAUGUUUAAUGAAAAUAAGGGGAACAAAGAAACCAUGUGGAGUAAAAGCAGAGAUGACACAUCAGGAGGCUACAAAUGAACAAUAAGUGAAACAUUAGUUCCUGGACCUCAAACCUUGAUGCCAGCAUUCAGGAGGCUUCCUAGGCAAGGAAGUAAAUUGGUGUGAGGUGACUGAACUGCAAGAUGAGGUGGAAUUUCAACAUUCAGGCUGCCCUCUCUGCAGAGGUUUAAGUAAACAGGAAAGAAUGUUUAAUGAAAAUAAGGGGAACAAAGAAACUAUGUGGAGUAAAAGCAGAGAUGACACAUCAGGAGGCCACAAAUGAACAAUAAGUGAAACAUUAGUUCCUGGACCUCAAACCUUCAUGCCAGCAUUCAGGAGGCUUCCUAGGCAAGGCCUGUCAGCUGUCCUAUUUCUUCCACUAGAUUUCUUUCUUUUGUUUUGUUUAAGCUAGUUUCAAU
rnacentral:lncRNA from 1 species